rnacentral:misc_RNA from 1 species
AGAGAGAGAGAGAGAGAGAUCAGACAGAGGCUCAAAUGGGGUCAAAGAUUUGUUUCAUUUUGUAAUUUCAGCUACAGAAUCACUCAAUCAACACACUUACACUGUCAACAAAAACGUAAUCCUAAAAAGAAAGCAAGAGAGAGUUGAGGAGCUUUUGGUGUUGCAGAAAAGAGGUAAUCAGAUAAAUAAAAGAAAUAGUGAUUUUAUUGCGGGAAAAAAGAGAGAGUUUCCUUUUAGCUUAGAUGGAAGGCAAAGUAGCAUAGUGUGGGCUUGUUCAUGGAGUUACUGGAGUAUUGCAAUUGGUGACUACUGACUAGAUUGACAGUGGCACAAUUGAGUCAUGAGUGAAGAUAAGUGGCAGGGCAAGAAGAGGGAGGUUGCGAGGGUUGAAGCAAGAAAGUACAGAGAUGUGGAGAAAGAAUAAAAAAGGGAGGGACCAGGAGGGCCCCAUAUAUUCAGCAGGAGGGCCUCAUUGACACGUCAUUGACGGUGUCAUACACACGCAUUGCUACAUUUGGUCUAAUGCAAAAUUGUGCUAACUUGACAUGGAAUUUUUUAGGGUGUAAAAGGUUCCUCAAAAUUUUGCGAGGUCUGAUGGGUUAAAACAUAUAAGUUUAGGGCUAGAAUAAUGCAUUUGGCCAAUAAUUUACCUCAAUAGUUGUAAGCUACAAAAUUUCAAGCAGCAAAUCUUAAAGAUUAGGUGGUGAUAUGCAGCCAAAUUCACACAUCUGAUCUAAGGUUUUAUGUCUAAAAAGUAUUAUACUUUAAUUUAUCCUCAAGUAAAAUUACUCCAAUAGUCCACAAAAU